rnacentral:rRNA from 1 species
UACGUAGGGGGCAAGCGUUGUCCGGAUUUAUUGGGCGUAAAGAGCGUGUAGGCGGCUAGGUAGGUCCGUUGUGAAAACUCGAGGCUCAACCUCGAGACGUCGAUGGAAACCAUCUAGCUAGAGUCCGGAAGAGGAGAGUGGAAUUCCUGGUGUAGCGGUGAAAUGCGCAGAUAUCAGGAGGAACACCAAUGGCGAAGGCAGCACUCUGGGACGUGACUGACGCUGAGACGCGAAAGCGUGGGGAGCAAACAGG